AAGUGUGCGCUGCUUUGAGGUGCUUGGUUGCUUUGCAGUCAAGUUAAACGGGAAGCAGGUGCGUUGUUUGACACAGGAAAUUUCCGGUGCCGUCGACAAAGCCUGAGCUGCCCCCGCAACGGUCGUCGAGUGUGGAUUUGCCAUUGAGCCACUGUGAGUCAUCAUGGGAAGGCGGUAAAUCAAGACUUGUGAGCCCGGAUACCGGCCUUAUUGCAAAGGUACGG
rnacentral:ncRNA from 2 species